CAUGUCAUUUUCAGACGCUCCCUUAAUUCUUUUAUUGUGCUAAGAAUUUCCUGAUAGUCCCUAGAGCGUGCCAUAGAAUGUUUUGAAUCAAACCAGAUGCGGAAAACCAACUACGCUCAAUCAGACACGAUAGACCAACGAAUGACUAAGAAGAAGUAGAAGUAGAAAAACAGAAAAGAAAGAAGAAAGUAGAACAAAUAGAAAGAAAAUAGAUUCCCCCCAUUUGAUCCUCAUCUUCAACGCCUUCCUUUUUUUAUCGACUUCCUUCCCUUCGAUUUAUGUCCUGCAAUCAAGUCCCGAGAUCGUCGUGAGCUUGAUUUUCCUACCCGAUAUCCUGACUGGUUUUUCCGUACCCCUGGAAACGUCCCCCGAAUCACCUUCAUCUUUACCUGGAACCCCUGGAGCCCUGAUCUGCACUCCCCACCUUAUCAUCAUUUUCCCCUUGCACACCCCCCUGUCUUCCUCUGAUUGAACUGUCCCCCAUCAACGUCCACUGUCCCUGCUACUGUAGUAGGACUGAAUCCGACGUCAUCAUUCCUUUUAAUUUAAAUUUUUUUUUUGAGUGCACUCGUUUUAUUUGGGUUUAUUUUUUUUAUUCAGUUGAUUAUUUUGAGAUCUCAUAGGGUUUUUUUCCUAUGAAUAUUUCUAUGAACAUCUAAGAAUAUUUUGUUAUCAUUCCUUGUUGAGCCCUUGUAAUUACUACGUGGAUAAAUAGUGCCGGCACUUAGAAGGUAUAUUUUUAUUGAUAUUUUUUUGUACGAUACUCCUGGGUUACACCCCCAUGGUACAUUGUAGUGGAUUUACAUUGAUAUUUUUUGUAUGACAUUCCUGGGUUACACCCCCGUGGUAUAUUGAUAUUGGUAUUUUAUUGGUGGUACUCUCUGGUUACGUACACAUACACACACAUCAAACACUUGAUCACAAUCAUUAGUUUAGUAUUCCAUGAUAAGAUAGUUUAAGUAGGCUUAGAUAUCAAAUAGGACUAAAAUAUAUUAAAUAUAUUGAGUAUCUUAUCUAUUUUUAAUAUAUAUAUCUAACAUAUAUUUAAUAGGAUUUCAGUGAUUUGCACAAAACUUAGCGUAUUAUUCUUCUGACUGACACUUUUACUAUCCACGUUUCACACUGAUAGAUCUUACUUGCACCUUAUUGCACUAAAUAUUAUUUAUUGUAUAAAUUUAAUGACUUUCCCUUGAAUGAACUAAUUUAUUGUGUGAAUAAAUAUUUAUUGUAUUAUUAUUCUGACAUCAGUGAGUGCUGUGUGUUGCUUGGGGUGAGUAAUUGACUGUGGUCUAGCCAUAACCUAAACCAGUCUCCUUAGAACCCAGAGUUGGAGUUAGACUGUUCCCGCACAAGCACAGGUUGUUUCCCUCGUCGUGCGGGUUACAUGUGCAUGCACAGAACCUUUCUUUGUUAGCCGGUGGCACCUGCAGUAAACUGUUGCAGUGAAUUGAAAAUGCCAUAAGAUACAUAUUACACAUAAAACUACUGCACUAGCAAGCUACUUUUUACAUGUACAUUGGAUUGACAGAGCAUUGAAUUAUACUGGAUCAGAAUCAGCAUUGGAUAUUGGAAAGUACCCCCCCCCCCCCCGUUCUUACUUUUUUGUAAAAUAUAUAAUUGUUCCGGGGUGGCACAGUGGUGUAGUGGUUAGCGCUGUCGCCUCACAGCAAGAAGGUCCGGGUUCGAGCCCCGUGGCCGGCGAGGGCCUUUCUGUGCGGAGUUUGCAUGUUGUCCGCGUGGGUUUCCUCCGGGUGCUCCGGUUUCCCCCAAAGACAUGCAGGUUAGGUUAACUGGUGACUCUAAAUUGACCGUGAGUGUGAAUGGUUGUCUGUGUCUAUGUGUCAGCCCUGUGAUGACCUGGUGACUUGUCCAGGGUGUACCCUGCCUUUUGCCCAUAGUCAGCUGGGAUAGGCUCCAGCUUGCCUGCGACCCUGUAGAACAAGAUAAAGUGGCUAGAGAUGAUGAGAUAUAAUUGUUCCAUUGAAUGUGUAUGUAUAAUAAUAAAAAUAUUGGCUGGCUUUUUUUCGUAGUAUAUCAGAUAUAUUCCAUUCAGCUAGCAUGAUACUGAACAAGUUGAAGACGAGUAUCUGAUAUACCACUCAACACCAGCCGAUAUUAUUUAAAUACUGGUGUUCUUAUCACUCUAAGUAUCAUUAUUGUAUAGACACUUUAAACACUACGGGCUGCACAAUUAUGCCCUUAUUACAUACAGUACUGUCAAAAGUUUGGGCACACCUUUUAACUCAAGUGGUUUUUUUUCUUUAUUUUUGUUAAUUAAAAUACACUUCAUGUCUUAAAGUAAUGAUGGAUGUUGUUUCUCUUUACUUAGUUGAGCAGUUCUUGGCAUAAUAUGGAUUACUACAGUUGUUAAACAGGGCUAUUUACUGCAUUUUUAUUAUUUACUUGUUACUGUUUGAUCUCAAAUGCAUUAAAAAGGCCAGAAAUUGCACUAAUUAACUUUUGACGAGGCACACCUGUUAAUUGAAAAGCAUUCCAGGUGACUACCUCAUGAAGCUAGUUAAGAGAAUGCCAAUAGUGUGCAAAGCGUAAUCAAGGUAAAUGCUGGCUACUUUGAAGAAUCUAAAAUAUGAAACAUAUUUUGUUUAUAACACUUUUUUUGUUUACCUCAUAAUUCCAAAUAUGUUCCAUGUGUUAUUUCAUAGUUUUGAUGUCUUCAGUAUUGUUCUACAAUGUAGAGAAGAUUCAAAAUACAGCAAAAACAGUGAAUGAGUAGGUGUGUCAUACUAGGGCGUAAUUUUGGGUAGGGAUGCUAGGGACGUGUCCCUACCAAUAUUCAGCCGCUACUGUGUAAUCACGAUCAAUAAAACCGAUGUCCUAACCUGAGAAAUGAUUAUAUGGCACACAAAGGGUUAAAUGUAUGACACUGCUAAUAAUCCCCCCUCUAACGUAGAUAUCAUUCUCUGAUUAGCUACCUGUUUCUCGCUAACUUACAUGAUUGGCUAUCCCAGCUGUCACUCCAUCUGCUGUAAAAACAGCACACUUCCCACAGCAGCCGUGACUACCCGCCCAUCAACCCCCCGUAUCUCACACGUCCACACCUGACCUACCCCACGCACCCCCCACUCUCCGUCAGCCUACAUAUUGAGCUGGACUUCAAUGUCCAUGCAUGCUUCCCCUACGACUCGCAUGCUGACUUGAGUAUCAUGGAUGACGGCCCCCCUCCCAAGAAACGAGACAUUCGUUCAUUCUUCUUCAAAGUCAAGAAUGUAAGUGCAGGGUUUCCGUCGAGCUUUAAAAACUCAACAAAAUCCUUUUGAUGUAUGGAAACCCUUCAUAAAAGUAUUGCUGCGGCUCCUUAGGCAGGUUUAGCAACGUGACAGGACGCAUCAGAGCUAGGCUACUGCAUAGCUGCAGAGAAAAGGAAUGCUGGAACAAUGUAACUUGGUGUUAAAUAAUAUCCUCGAUGAAUGAAUGUUAAAUUUAUAGACCUAAUGGUUUUACAGAAUGUAAGUAGUCAGAUGUAGGCUACUGCAUGGCCAUGCAGAUGUGCGACUUGCAUUUCAGAAUCAACAGCGUGACAGCCGCUGAGUCUGCUGCGUUCACCGUUUUACAGAGACCUCUUUCUACUACUACUAGGCUAGGCUAGAUACAACAAAUCCAUGGUCCUUUACUGCCACCUACAGACGAAUAUUGGUAACCGCAGCAUGUUUGGUUCUUUCAAAUAGGAGCAACCAGUGUAAACUAAUUUGCUUGUGUUUAUGUUUGAGUAUCAGUAACCAACACAUUUACAUUUCAUUUAUGUGUACUUACAUGUUGUAGUUAUGUGUUUCAAUGUUCUUGAUGUAUGUUAAUUGACAGUAUGUUGCACUUUUGCAGCCCUUAACAUCCUGCAUAAGUAAAGCUGAGAACUCUGAA